UUUUUUAUCCCCUUCGCAUCCGCCUCUUCUUAUCUCUUCUUCUUCCGUUUCUCAACACCGGCACGGCCUCUCUCCUUCCCCUCUCCCUCUCUCUUUGAAAACCCCCUUCGCAACCGCCUAUUCAUCUCUCUUUUUCUGCCGUUUCUCAACACCGACACGACCUCUCCCCUUCCCCUCUCCCUCUCUCUUUGAAAACGUCCAAAUAGAUUCUAUAAAUACCUUCCGCUACAAUUUUGAUGGAACAACGAAGGGGUUUUCUUCCAAUUGUGACCGGGGUUGAUUGGAGGAGUAGAAAGCUGUCAAUCAAGAUGUUGUUGAAACGUAUUGCCCGGAAAUCAGUUCCUAAACAAUAAGAAUUUAAAAAGUUUGUUAAUGACAAGGAAAUUAUAGAAAUUUCAUCAAAUGAUUAUGAAGAAGAACCUUCCAUUGAGAAGUAUUAUGAUGAUGAUGAUGAUGAGGAGAGUUCUUUUGAAGUUAACAAAAAAGUGAAGGUUGAAAAUUCAGAUACUGAUUAUGUACCUAGCGAAGAUGCUCCUGCUACUCCUGAAGUUAAUGUCCCUUUUGCUGUUAAAAUCAAAGAUGAAGAAGAAGCAGAUAAAUUGUUUGCUGAAGCUAUGGAAAUUCUAGCAGCUAUAUGGAAGUUUCGUCAGGAGGAAAAAAAAAUGAGUUGAGACAAGUAUUAGAAAAAUAAAUGUCAAGUCAAUAAAAUAAAUCAAGGUCUAUGAGUUUGUGAACCAUGUUGUUGGAAAAUUUUAUAAAUUUCAGUUGUUUUAAUUAGCUUAAGUUAUGUGAAAAAACUUAUGUUUACCUCUUUAUAUUUCUUUACCAUCAGGUUUAUGAAUGAUAUGGAUUUGUGUGAAGUAUUAAUGAUA